GAAAUAAAUAUAGGGAGAUAUAUAUAUAUGUAAAUAAAAACAAAUACAAGUAAUCCAAAUCUAGACAAGUAGAUUAAUAUUCAGUAUGAAAAAUAUACGGAUAGAUGGUAAUAUAUUUUAAUAUCUGCUAUGUAUUAUAUCUAUUGUAUAAAUCUAGAAGAUCAAUAUGAUAGAAAUAGAUAUUAAAAAUAUUUAAAUCAUGUGGAUUUUUGUUUUUUAUUUGGUUAGAAGCAGGGCUUUUAAAUGAAUAAUAUAGAAAUAAAAAUAUACACAUCUAUAAUAAAAAAAUAAGUAUAGGGAGAGAUACAUAUAUAUAUAGCCAUAAAAAAGAACUAAAUACAAGUAAUCUGAAUCUAGACAAGUAAAUUAAUAUUCAGUGUGAAAACUAUAUGGAUAGAUGCUAAUAUAAUAAAUUAUAAUAUCUAUUAUGCAAUAUAUCUAUGUGUAUAAUUUUUGAGGCAGAAUCCCAAUUUCAGCCACAGCACCUGGAAGACGAGGCCGGUUCUUUAUUGUGGAAAGCCCAGCACCCUGGUGUUUCAGGGACGGACAACGGGACAACUAGGGCAUGUAGGGGAGGGAAUGACUGGCAGGACCUUUCUCCACCCCACCCCUACCCCCACUCCAAGGUGCAGCAGCCCCAGGUAUGACCGGUGAGGACGAGAAGGGGGCAGCUCCUGGCAGAGGCAGUCUUCAGAGGGUUACCCAGGCAGACCCAUGCAGGGAGCCACUAGAGGGGCCAACAGGCAUCCUGGGAGUUCCUCCAGGAACGAGGGUUGUGGCACCCAGCAGGGUCUGGGGGAGCAGCUGGAUGUACCCGGGCAGGGAGCGUCACUUUAAGAGAAAACUGAGGGAAAACCCGUCCUGCUGAACGGCGGCACCCGAGCGGGCAGGGAAGCAUGUGGGGGUCUGGGGGCGGCGGUUUUCAACUUUCCCCUUCUACCUCACCACUUCCUCUCCAGAAAAGGGAUGGGUUAUCAGGGAAAAAAAGGGGUUUAAACUGAGGGAAAAAGCUUCCUUUUCCACAAUCGCCUGUGUUCGAAUUGAAGAGAAAUCCACUUCCUCUGCAAUUUUGAUAGUCUCAGUUGGAGGUAUGCCUUUUCUGUGCUGUUAGAGGUAUUAAUUGAUAGGGAAUCCCCAUUUUCUAUUUUUUUUCACUUUAAGUGGAAAGGGAAAGCAUGGAUGAUGCUUUUUUAUGGAUCUGAAUUAAGGGAAAAAUGCCCCCUUUUCCAUCACCAAGAGAGAUUUAAGGCAAGGAAAACCACUCUUUUCCCCAAUAUUUGAGGGGUUUAAAUUAAAGGGGAGAAGCCAUUUAUUUACCACUGUGUCUGUUUAAGUGGAGAUAGCUGCCCCAUUUCCUCAUUUUAAGCAUUGCCUUUUCCAACAUUUCAAGGGUUUAAAGCUGCAUUUCAGGGCACCUCUACCCAGGCCCCAGCACCAAAUAUUUCCAAUGGGAGCUAGCCCAGCAGGUAUGUAAUACUAAUGCCAUCUGGGAGUAUAUUCUUUUGCUUAUUUUCAUUUAUAAUGUAGAGAGCCCUGAUUAGAGAGCCCUAUGAUACUAUUCUUCUCCACCCUAAUUAAUCACAGGUGGAAUGCUACUUAGUAAUCACUAAAAAAUAAUUAUGCAAGUCCAUAAAUUAUCCAACUUAGCUGGCAAUGCUGCUGAAACACAAAGUUUUGCUUCUUACCCUUUUUUUUUUCCCCUUGGCUCCAUUGCUCUGAGUAAUUGUAGCAAAAAAAGAAAAAAUCGUCUUUUCCCAAAGAGUUUUCUUCUACGUGGAACUCCUUACCUCAAAUUUAACUCAGAGAAGCCAAACAGCUACAGUGCCUCUGAGGGCUUUUAUAGCCAGUGGGAUUUACCGCCUCCCUUUUCCCAGGCAUCGUGGGAAAAAGAGGCGGGCCCAAUCAGGGGUAUAUUAAGCCCUGGAUGUGCUAAGGGGCACUAUUCCCUCCUGGGGAAUCAGCUGGGAUAGAGAGCUUGUCUCUCACCUCACUGAAGAGUCUCUUUCAGUUUAAGUUAGCCUGCUUUUAGCAGAUAUCUUUCGGGCAUUUGAAGCAGCAGAGGAUUUGAAGACACCUUGAAGAAAACAUUUUUGAACACUUGAACACAGGGAGUAUUUAAGUUCAUGAUUUUGGGUUGGGGGUUCAGGGGUGAUAAGAUGCUUUCGUAAUAACUUGUCUUGUUUUUUUUUUUUUUUUAAGGAGGAUUGCACUUUCCUGAAGUUCUAGGUUACAUCAAGAGCGAUACUUCAGAUUCUCUCAGAAGAUUCAUUGUGACACAAAAGGGAAACGUCUCCACAGCAGCUUUCCUUAGCAAAAAAUUAGCCUACUGCACGGAUUUGCUUCGGACAGAGAAGUCAAGGGCUAUAAUUACAGUGAUGAUCAAAGAGGGGCGGUGGGUGUGGAUUCACACUGGUGUGGGGCUUUGAGUGAGCUUUGGGAAUGGGGAGGAUCUGAAACCCAGGGGUCAUUCCGAUCAUCUCCCAUCUUGGCGUUCCUCAGCCUGGCGCCGACACUGGCGAAGGUUCGAUUCGGGAGCUCGGACACGCAUCGCAAUUGUGUCUCUCUUUAGAAGCACCUGAUUGUAUGUCUUUUUAGGUCUUGUUUUGAGCUGUGUUAACAGCUAUAUGCAGCAAUAUUUCUUUACAGUGGAUAAGGACUUGUAGCGAUUCAAAGGCCGGCAGAGAAUUCCAAACACUGGAUUCUUAGGCAUCCAUCUCUGUGGUUCUGGGAAUAAGUUGUUCCGUUAGCAUCUUUUUCCUCCAGGGCUGUUUGAGCUCGACAGGCUCGCCUUCGGUCCCGCCUUGGUCAUCGCGUUCAGCAUUCUCUUGGUCCUCAUGAGGACUUCCUUGUCUCAGAGAGUUUUCUCUCCCUGUUGUGUCCCCUCGUCUGUCAUCUCAUGCGUCACGGGUGUCUGGGGGUAUUUGGUCUGGAGGUGCUCUGCCCUGCUGCCUAGCCUGGCUGUAGGUGUUUAAGGACACGUCCUGGGCAGUUGUAAUUGGAAAUUUGUAAUAGGGGCUGUAGUUGGAGUCUAGCCUAUUCUUAGGUUGGCAUAAGAUGUCUGGAGCUCUGAAGUUACCCUGCAGCACUUUGACUUUUUUCCUAACUGGCUUUCAGAUGCAGAUGGAUUGAACCCGUGGCAGAGCGCCCCAUCCCAGAUGAGGGGGUCCGCCCGAGAAGGAAGUAAAGCUGGAUAGCAGCAGUCAAGGUGAAGCAGGUAGAAGGCUGCCUCCUGAUGCUAUGCUGAGGCCCCCUCACUGACCUGCCAAGAGACCCGAUUUGCUUCUCUUGCAAGCCCCAGCAAAUAUUACAGGAGUCUGUGGUGAAGCCUUGACCUCAUCCAUGUGAAGGUGCAGUUGGGAGCCCAGGAAAAGCCUUUAUAAUCACUGGAGGCAAUUUGAAGUUAGUUUAGAGGACAGGGCUGUAGUGGGAUGUGCCCCUCUGACAUCUAGGGAGAGGAUUUCUUCUCAAGCUUCCCAGAGCUUUUGCAGAGCAGGGCAGUUUCCGGCCAUCUCCUCAUUGUCAUGUGUUUCACGUCGUCGGCCAUCUCAGCCUCUCAAUGUCAUUGUGGGCUUUAUCGUUGAGGAAGCUGCCUUUUGCGUCCGCAGCCAUUGCCUUGUUCACCCGGCAGACAUUGCCUGCACCUGGUGGUACUGUGCUUGCCUUUGUAAAUGUAUAUGCUUGGAGAUGGCCUGCCCGGGCACAUAGUUACAGUUAGAAAACUGGAACUUUAGCAUUUUCUACCUGUUCUACCUAUGAGGUUUUGUGUAGAAAAUGUGUGGGCGUAGAUAGUGGCUGAGUCCUAGCUACGAUAUAAUCCCUCAAUGACCACCUUGUGUUGUCUUGCACAUCUCCGAUGCCUAUUUUCUGAGAAUCUACCAAUUGAUGUUGAGCAGCAGUAGCGAGAAGAUAUCUUGGUGAAUUUUGUUCAGCACAGGGUUUCCAAAUAAGGGUUGUGGUCACUCUGUAAGUUAGUCUCUUGCUGUGUGUGAGAGCGUGUCUGUCUGUGGGAGUCGGUCUGUCCGGGUCUGCUCGCAUGUGAUUGUGUGGGUUGACUGGUUCUAAUAUUGUGUGUAUGAUUUCUGCUUUUCAGGACUUGAAAGUCACUUUUAAAUUUAGAAUAAAAACCCAGCCAGGGGUGUUUCCCUCCCCGGCUGGGGUUUUUUUCUAGGUCCUGGCCAGUCUGUGAGGUGACUUUCAUCGCCAAAGUUAGGGCAUGGCCCAGCCCCGACUGGGGUUUUCAUCAGGCAGGCUGAUUUUGAGGCUCCCAGGAACCACGUUCCAGAGGACUGCUGACAGCAGGGUUAUAAUGGAGCAGUUGAGAUGAGAGUGAAGGUGAGUUGGUGUGCAAGCUGAAGCCGGCUUCUGUGGCGAAUGACUAUUGGGUUUUCUGUGUGCUCCUUCUGGUUUGGGAUAGCAGUAAUAAUAAAACAGCAUGUAUUGAACUUUUCAGAAAUACAGAAAUGUUUAUAUAAUGCUAAUAUGUAUUUGGCUUGUAUUGUUCUGUAUUUGCAUUUGCUUCCGUGUUUCUCUGUAUUAGCCUGUAUGUGAAUUAGGGGUUUUUCAGUGUCUACAUGGAUUGUAUUAUAUUGUAUAGAAUUUUUAUCGGUGUUUGCAUUGGCAUCCAGUCUCUGUGUUUUGCUGUAGUGUAAAUAAAUUUAUUCACUAAAGGUGAAUAAACCCUAAUAAAGAUGAUCCCCCU